UACGAAGGGGGCUAGCGUUGCUCGGAAUCACUGGGCGUAAAGCGCACGUAGGCGGCUUUCUAAGUCAGGGGUGAAAUCCUGGAGCUCAACUCCAGAACUGCCUUUGAUACUGGAGAGCUUGAGUCCGGGAGAGGUGAGUGGAACUCCGAGUGUAGAGGUGAAAUUCGUAGAUAUUCGGAAGAACACCAGUGGCGAAGGCGGCUCACUGGCCCGGUACUGACGCCGAGGUGCGAAAGCGUGGGGAGCAAACAGG
rnacentral:rRNA from 1 species